CUGAGUUAAAUAAUAACUGAGUGGACUUUAUUUUAAUUUGCCAUUGUUCGUGAAGACAGUCAUUAGUUUUAAAUGUGAUUAGACAACCCUCCACAGAAGCCUUUGGGAACAAAAUUAAAUUUUGUAGAGACAGGGAGUCUCACUUUGUUACCCAGGCUGGUCUCAAAUUACUGGGCUCAAGCAAUCCUCCUGCUUCAGCCUCUCAAAGUGCCAGGAUUACAGGUAUGAGCCACCAAGUCCUACCAGAAUUUGCAUUUUGGAGUAUGCACCAUUAAACAGUUUAACUCUUCAGUUGAUCUCUUUUUAAAAAUCAAUUGUUCAGCAUCUGUGGAAUCUGAUUGUGAUGUGGUCAGGGACAGAAUGGGACUAAAAUGAGAAUAACCAUGCCAGACUCUUCAGGACACAACCUGGCUAUGGGAGGCUGAUUGUGUUUGCAUGGAGACACUAACUCCAAGUGGAUGGAUGACACCACUGGGACACUGUUGCUCAUGGACCACAGACAGUGGCGCUGGGACACCAAUGCUCAGACUAUAGAUGGUGGUGAUGGGACACCAUUGCUCAUGGACUGCAGACAGUGCUACGAGGACACCGAUGCUCAUGGACUACAGAUGCUGCUCUGAAGUGCUCUGCACUUUACUUUUCUCUAGUUCAUUUCCAAACGGGCCAAUUUCAAAAUUAUAAUUGAAAAGAGUAACUUGAAAACAGAUACUCCCAGCCAUGCCCUUGCCUCAAGACAUCUGCCGUCUCCCUGGCCUCUGAGGCAGGGUGGGAAGACACCGCCACCCCAUUCCAUAGGUGAAGAGCUCUUUCAUGGGGUACAUGCGCAUCCCACUCCUUGCUCGGCUCAGCACAAGCUCAGCAUUGCCAGAGAGAAAAACUGGAAGACAGAGACAAACAAAACAACAACUGGUAGGUGGGUGCUUGUGAUAAGUUAAAGAUAGGAAACCAGGGAACGCUGUGGGCUGCCACCCCAGGGGCUUGGUCGCCACCAAGAGUGAAGGAGGAACAACAGGGAGAGGAUAUGCACCAGAGUCCCCAUCGCCAGCCUAAGCAGGAGCACAGGAGCAACAGCGUUUGAUGCUUUCCUACAAGAGGCUGAAGAAGGAAACAAGUUGCUGAGGUUUUGAAGAAUCGUGGGUCGCAUUUCCUUGGAUCAGCUAAGCCCCGAACAGAUCCCUAAAGCAACUGGGCUUCUGGUCCUAUUUCACCUUCAAAGAGAAUCAAUCCUACCCUUCCAUCCUGAACAGUCUUCUAGGCUCAAGCACUCUGAAUUUUCCUAUCGUGGCUGGAGCUAUCGAUUUGGUGCUAGUCUCACUCUCUUUGUCAACCUCUCUUGUGCAUUUAUUAAUACAAACUUAUUAUUUUUUCCUAACUUAGUUUUUAACGUGAUUACAUUCACAGAUUUUUUAAAAGUUGAUCUGCUCUUGAAUUCCUGGUUUUAUUCUAUGUAAUUAUCAGUAUUUUUUUUCAGAAAUGGUCUCUUUUUAUUUGAAUGGUUGAUCUAGGACUCAGCCUAAAUAUUAUUCUAAUACGUAGCUGUACAUAACCAACAUGUCUAUGAUGUUAGUGAUGAACCAGAACCAACACAGAGAUGGUCUUUGCCUGAUAAAAGAUAAUCACAAUCCGAAAUAAAAUUACUAGGUAAAAUACAGGAUGCCUAGUUAAAUUUGAGUAUCAGAUAAACAAUGAAACAUUUUUAGUUACAUGUCCCAUGUAAUAUUUGUACUAAAUACUUAUACUAAAUUGUAAAGGACAUACUUAUACUAAAUUGUAAAGGACAUCCUUAUACUAAAGGAAAGCAUUGCUUAUCUGAAAUUCACAUUUAACUGGUUGUCCUAUAUUUUUAUUUGUUAAAUGUGGCAAUCUUAAUCAUAAACAAAUAAGCAAACAAGUAUAAGUCUUAGAAAAGAAUAAAUCAAUUUUUAAAUGAAUGCAUUUAGUGUUGUCAGGGAAUAAUUACAAUAUGUCAGCAAACCUUGGCAACCAUUGGAAUCCCGUUUCUGAAAAUUACAGUGUAGUGUGAAGUAGAAAAUAACAACGAUGGUUUUAACUCAUAUGAAACAUAGAAAAAAUUCAGAAACAAACUAGAUUUAUUGGUUUUAAGGAAAAGAAGCCAGAACAACUACCAGAAUACUGUUCUGUUAGGUAACUCUUCUUUUAACCACCUUCUUUAAUUACUCAGGAAAUAUUUCUGUGUUUUCCUCAACAACUGGAGUAGAUUUUCCCAUGAGUUUUAUGUUACACAAAGUUUAGUUAUUUUUAAAGUUAUCAAAUCAGCUCUUACUGGCUUGAAGUUAAGUAUCCAUGGAACUUGUAUUUCCUUUGUUUUCCUUUCAAAUGUCUCCCCAAAAUGCUUGUAACUGUGUAUCCU
rnacentral:lncRNA from 1 species